rnacentral:rRNA from 1 species
GACGAACGCUGGCGGCGUGCUUAACACAUGCAAGUCGAGGGCGUGGAGCAAUCCACGACCGGCGAACGGGUGCGUAACACGUGAGCAACCUGCCCGCCUGUGGGGGAUAGCCGGCCCAACGGCCGGGUAAUUCCGCAUACGCUUUUCUGGCCGCAUGGCUAGGGAAGGAAAGCCGCAAGGCGCAGGUGGAGGGGCUCGCGGCCUAUCAGCUAGUUGGUGGGGUAACGGCUCACCAAGGCUACGACGGGUAGCUGGUCUGAGAGGAUGGCCAGCCACA